UACGUAGGGUGCGAGCGUUUAAUCGGAAUUACUGGGCGUAAAGCGUGCGCAGGCGGUUCGUUGUGUCGGCGGUGAAAGCCCCGGGCUUAACCUGGGAAUGGCCGUUGAAACUGGCGAACUGGAGUGUGGCAGAGGGGGGUGGAAUUCCGCGUGUAGCAGUGAAAUGCGUAGAGAUGCGGAGGAACACCGAUGGCGAAGGCAGCCCCCUGGGCUAACACUGACGCUCAGGCACGAAAGCGUGGGGAGCAAACAGG
rnacentral:rRNA from 1 species